rnacentral:rRNA from 1 species
GAUCAUGGCUCAGGAUGAACGCUAGCGGCAGGCUUAACACAUGCAAGUCGAGGGGCAGCAUAAUGGAUAGCAAUAUCUAUGGUGGCGACCGGCGCACGGGUGCGUAACGCGUAUGCAACCUACCUUUAACAGGGGGAUAACACUGAGAAAUUGGUACUAAUUCCCCAUAACAUUCGAGAAGGCAUCUUCUUGGGUUAAAAACUCCGGUGGUUAAAGAUGGGCAUGCGUUGUAUUAG